CUUGUCAGGACGAACGCUGGCGGCGUGCCUAAUACAUGCAAGUCGAACGCGUUUCCGUUAUUGAUUUUAGAUGCUUGCAUUUAAAUGAUUUAACACGAAACGAGUGGCGAACUGGUGAGUAACACGUGGGUAACCUGCCCUUGAAGUAGGGGAUAACACUUGGAAACAGGUGCUAAUACCGUAUAACAACCAAAACCACAUGGUUUUGGUUUAAAAGAUGGCUUCGGCUAUCACUUUAGGAUGGACCCGCGGCGUAUUAGCUUGUUGGUAAGGUAACUGGCCUACCAAGGCAAUGAUACGUAGCCGACCUGAGAGGGUAAUCGGCCACAUUGGGACUGAGACACGGCCCAAACUCCUACGGGAGGCAGCAGUAGGGAAUCUUCCACAAUGGACGAAAGUCUGAUGGAGCAACGCCGCGUGAGUGAUGAAGGGUUUCGGCUCGUAAAACUCUGUUGUUGGAGAAGAACAGGUGUCAGAGUAACUGUUGACAUCUUGACGGUAUCCAACCAGAAAGCCACGGCUAACUACGUGCCAGCAGCCGCGGUAAUACGUAGGUGGCAAGCGUUGUCCGGAUUUAUUGGGCGUAAAGCGAGCGCAGGCGGUUUCUUAGGUCUGAUGUGAAAGCCUUCGGCUUAACCGGAGAAGUGCAUCGGAAACCAGGAGACUUGAGUGCAGAAGAGGACAGUGGAACUCCAUGUGUAGCGGUGAAAUGCGUAGAUAUAUGGAAGAACACCAGUGGCGAAGGCGGCUGUCUGGUCUGUAACUGACGCUGAUGCU
rnacentral:rRNA from 1 species